GAUGAACGCUGGCGGCGUGCCUAAUACAUGCAAGUCGAGCGAACAGACGAGGAGCUUGCUCCUCUGACGUUAGCGGCGGACGGGUGAGUAACACGUGGAUAACCUACCUAUAAGACUGGGAUAACUUCGGGAAACCGGAGCUAAUACCGGAUAAUAUAUUGAACCGCAUGGUUCAAUAGUGAAAGACGGUUUUGCUGUCACUUAUAGAUGGAUCCGCGCCGCAUUAGCUAGUUGGUAAGGUAACGGCUUACCAAGGCAACGAUGCGUAGCCGACCUGAGAGGGUGAUCGGCCACACUGGAACUGAGACACGGUCCAGACUCCUACGGGAGGCAGCAGUAGGGAAUCUUCCGCAAUGGGCGAAAGCUUGACGGAGCAACGCCGCGUGAGUGAUGAAGGUCUUCGGAUCGUAAAACUCUGUAUUAGGGAAGAACAAAUGUGUAAGUAACUAUGCACGUCUUGACGGUACCUAAUCAGAAAGCCACGGCUAACUACGUG
rnacentral:rRNA from 1 species